rnacentral:rRNA from 1 species
AACGAACGCUGGUGGCAUGCCUAACACAUGCAAGUCGAACGAGACCUUCGGGUCUAGUGGCGCACGGGUGCGUAACGCGUGGGAACCUGCCCUUAGGUUCGGAAUAACUCCCCGAAAGGGGUGCUAAUACCGGAUAAUGUCUUCGGACCAAAGAUUUAUCGCCUUUGGAUGGGCCCGCGUUGGAUUAGCUAGUUGGUAGGGUAAAGCCUACCAAGGCGACGAUCCAUAGCUGGUCUGAGAGGAUGAUCAGCCACACUGGGACUGAGACACGGCCCAGACUCCUACGGGAGGCAGCAGUGGGGAAUAUUGGACAAUGGGCGAAAGCCUGAUCCAGCAAUGCCGCGUGAGUGAUGAAGGCCUUAGGGUUGUAAAGCUCUUUUACCCGGGAUGAUAAUGACAGUACCGGGAGAAUAAGCUCCGGCUAACUCCGUG